GCAGUAAACUCAAAUGAAUUGACGGUCCCCUACGGGAAGCAGCAGUGGGGAAUAUUGGACAAUGGGCGCAAGCCUGAUCCAGCCAUACCGCGUGGGUGAAGAAGGCCUUCGGGUUGUAAAGCCCUUUUGUUGGGAAAGAAAAGCAAUCGGAUAAUACCCGGUUGUUAUGACGGUACCCAAAGAAUAAGCCCCGGCUAACUUCGUGCCAGCAGCCGCGGUAAUACGAAGGGUGCAAGCGUUAUUCGGAAUUAUUGGGCGUAAAGCGUGCGCAGGUGGUUGUUUAAGUCUGUUGUGAAAGCCCUGGGCUCAACCUGGGAAUUUCAGUGGAUACUGGGCGACUAGAGUGCGGUAGAGGGUAGUGGAAUUCCCGGUGUAGCAGUGAAAUGCGUAGAGAUCGGGAGGAACACCCAUGGCGAAGGCAGCUACCUGGUCCAUCACUGACACUGAGGCACGAAAGCGUGGGGAGCAAACAGGAUUAGAUACCCUGGUAGUCCACGCCCUAAACGAUGCG
rnacentral:rRNA from 1 species